rfam:Canis lupus familiaris chromosome X, whole genome shotgun sequence.
AGGAGGAACAACCACAGUGGCAGAGGCCAGCUCUGGAGCCCUGGAUUCAGCUCCUGCAGUAACUAAAGAGCUCUCAGUCUGCAGGGGCCUGGAUGCUCCAGUGGCGGG